rnacentral:pre_miRNA from 1 species
GGAAAAGUCGUGAUGUAUUUUUGGAAAGAAAAACAUAGAUACGUCAUGACUUUUUUGA